UACGAAGGGGGCUAGCGUUACUCGAAUUGACUGGGCGUAAAGGGCGCGUAGGCGGUUCGUACAGUCAGACGUGAAAUUCCUGGGCUCAACCUGGGGGCUGCGUUUGAUACGUGCGGGCUUGAGUUCGGAAGAGGGUCGUGGAAUUCCCAGUGUAGAGGUGAAAUUCGUAGAUAUUGGGAAGAACACCGGUGGCGAAGGCGGCGACCUGGUCCGAUACUGACGCUGAGGCGCGAAAGCGUGGGGAGCAAACAGG
rnacentral:rRNA from 1 species